rnacentral:lncRNA from 1 species
AUGGUCUUAGUUAAAAAUUCAUUUUAUUGUAAUCAUUCUUCACGGAGAUUCGAUGGGCGGAUCGGGAAGCCCAAGCUCCAUCUACCCCCCAGCUUCGGGAUCGGCCACGUACAGAAAACAAAGAGACGGGAAGAAUGGCAGCAGCGACGAGAUACGAGAGGAAACAGGAGGAAGAACGGCCACAUAGAGAAGGGAAGGGAAGGGAAGAUGGAUCAGGAGGAGGAAGCGGCUAAGGCGUGUGCCUCCAAGUAAGGAUUGGUGAUCGUGUAGCCGCCGUCCACCACAAGGUUAUGCCCGUUGACGUAUCUGGACUCGUCGCUGGCCAGGUAGAGCACCGCCUCAGCGAUGUCCUGCGCCUUCAACGCCGCGGCUCUCAGGGCGGAAGCCUUCUCCGAGACGUCUUCAGUGGCUCUGGUGUCCAACCCGAACGCCUCGGAGGCCAAGGACGAUGCCAAAAGAUGAGGGGAGACGCAGUUCACCCGCACGCCGGAGCGGCCCAGCUCCACGGCGGCGUCCCUCGUCAACCCCACCACGGCGUGCUUCGAAGGUCCGUAGGGAGUCACCAUCAUGCCGGUAAUGCCCAAUAUGCUGGCAGUGUUGAUGAUACUGCCCCGCCCGGCGGUGGCCAUGGCUCGCCCCGCGUGCUUGAUGCCCAGGAAGACGCCGAUCACGUUCACGGCGAACAUUUUCUCGAAGUCCGAUCUGUCGUAGCCGAGGUGGGGCCGGAACGCUGUGGCCAUGCCAGCGUUGUUGAACAUAACGUCCAGCCGGCCGUGAGAUUUCUGGCUAGUCUCCACGGUGGCCUGGACGUCGGCCUCGGAGGAGACAUCGCAGUGGACGUAGGAGGCCUCGCCGCCGUCGCCGACGAUUUCCCUGCAGACCUCCUGGCCCUUCUCGUCCUGGAUGUCGGCGACGACGACCUUGGCACCGUGCCGAGCGAAAAGCCUGGCGGUGCUCUCGCCGAUGCCGUUGGCGCCGCCGGUAAUGAUGGCCACCUUCCCCUCCAGCCUGCGACCAAAACGACGGCGGUGAGGCAAAAUCGUCCUUAAAUCAAAGGGAAAAUCGAGGACAAAGGCAGAAGGUGAAUCAUUGCACGCCGCGUACCGCCUCGCCAGGGACGCCAGCACCGGGGAGCUCUUCAUGACGUCGAUGCGAUCUUCCGGCGUCGGGGGUCGAUGAAUUCAAGACAAAGUUGAUGAAGGCUGCCACCGUGAUCUGGGGUUGUGCUGCCUUCCAUUUAUAUAGAAAAAGUUUUAAGACAGUUAGCACUAUUGCUGGUAGCCAGACACCGAAAAGUCCUGGAGGGUAAAAGUUCCCGACUGCCCGAAUAAAAGUCAAAGCUCUCUUCGGGGAAUCUUCGGGCCAGGUUGUUCACCGGUUAGAAUUCACAGGGUCAACCCUGCCUCAGUUCCAGAUCCUGGUUCGUCGGACUGGGUCCUAGCCAUUCGAUUCUUCUGGUCGAGUAACGUCUAGCUAGGGUAGAAGCUUCGGCGGAGUCAUUAGAAAGGACUAGGAAUUACGGCGAGAUCUCGACCAAACUCUCACGCCAUGAUCAAAGGCAAGUCAAGAUCACUAGUACAAAGGCUAUGCCGGGGAAAGAAUGGAAGCGCGAUGGUUGCUUCGCUCUUCUCCACAUAACGAAGUUAGAUCGGUGGGGCAGAUCUUCUCCCUUCUUUACAUGCAUGUGCUGUGCGGGGCUACUCGUCAGUUGAUGGAUCAAUGAUUAAGGCCCCGCAAGGUGAUAAGACAGUGAUGUCUUACCAACUUGUCAACAUUUGGUGGCCAAGAAAGUUAUAGAUAGGCUCGCCUGGCUGCAGGAGUUGAUGGGCUAUCAUCCAUUCCAUUGGAGAUGGAAGUGGACAUCUGUGAAGGGUCAAAUCAUAAGAGGCUGCAGUACACGAGGUAGGUAACCAUAUAAAGGGACAAAAUCAUACUGAAAUUAAUGUUAGUUCUUUAUUUAGCAUAGGAAUAUAUCAUGCUAAAUUUUGAGCGUAUUUAAAUGAAAAAUUACUUAUACACCCUGGCACAAACUAUAUAUAUCAAGAUAUGCCACUUUAUACACUAAAGAAACGUGUAAAUAUAAUAUAGUAAGAUCCUCUAAUAAGAUAUUCCACAUUACAUAUUGACACAUUAUAUUUAAUGAAAUAUUUUAUUUAAUAUCAUACUAUCUUUAAUUACCAUAAUAUUACCAUGUGUAGAGUAAUUUUGUAAUGUAACUUCUUUUAUAGUGAAAUAUUAAUCUUAGUAUACUCAAUGAAGUAAAACUCAAAUUUUCACAUGUAAACACAUUAACCUUGACAUACUUUGGUAUUUCACAAUGCAAACUUCAUAUAUUUUGAAAUACCAACCUUAAUAUAUUACACCAUAUUCAUAUAUAGUUUAUUAUUUCACAACAUACGCUUAAUAUAAUUAAAUAUCUAUUGGUUCCAAAGAAGGUUAUAAUUAAUGUCAAAAGAAAAGACGUGAAUUUGACUUUUCGUGAUCUAUAAGAGUUUUCUAAUCUUUUCAUAUCUCCUCACAUAGAGAAUUUAUAGUGGUUCAGUCUACUUACCUACUUCACUAUCUAAAGACCACCUCUUUAUGUUUUAUUAAUUCCCUUUUGAUAUUACGUUGAGUAUAAUUGCUUCAUGUAGUUUUCACUAUAUUCAACAGGUCUAUCCAGGUUAAAAUUUUCUCCCCAAAACCUUCUUUGAGAUCCAUGACCAUGCGCCAACCACUCUUCAUUGCCAACACAAUAAUCUCUUCUAAAUUAAUGGCUCUAGAUCAACUUGAGUAGACAAAGUUACUGCUCAACUCUAGUGAACGAUUUAAACUACAUAAUGUGUAUGAAUUUACUGCUAUAAAUCAAGUAUUAAAACUAUUAACAAUUGUAAGAUACUUUCAUCACUAUCUUGCUCAUUGCAAUUGUGGUAAAUAAAUUGCUUAAAAUCAAAUUUUGUAGUAGUUUCAUUCUUUGAGCAUUCAGUAUAAAUUUAAUGCUUUAACAAUAAAAUAGGUUUUAGAACUAAAUUAUUGACUCAUUAAAAUUUUUUUUGACAAAUGAAGGCAAUUAAAAUAAAAGUAGUGACUAAAAAGUGGAAGAAUUCUAUUUAAUGUUAAAUUUAUAACAUUAAGAUAUGUUUCUUGGAAAGUAUUUCAAGUCCCUAGUGUGACAACUAGAAGUUCAUUUCUGAACAUCUCUAGUCAUUGCAUAUAAACAUUCAAGAAUAAAGAACAAACCCCAUAAGAAAGGGACUCCACAGUAGACUCUAGGAUGAAGAGAGGGAGAGCUACAGUGACCUAACUACCCUUAUAAUGAUCUUACACAUUAGUUGAGAGCCCAAGACACGAGAAUAAUUUUUGCUGCCUAACACAUUAGUUUUCUAGAUUGAAACAUAUUAAAGAGCUCCCAAAUUAAUCUAGGAAAGAUUCGUCUUAAUGAACUAUAGAUGGAUCCCACUUUGGCAAUCAUUGGAAAAGUCUAACCUAAAUAAAAUUUAGAAAAGUUUAAUUGCUCAAAUUAUCUAAUGUAUUACCACACCAGUUGGUUGUGCCAUGAGCUGAAUUAUAUAGUGGCUGAACUACAUGGUGCAUUUAUUAUCAAGCUUGGUACUAUCUUGAUAUGUCUACUAUAUUGGUUGUGUCAUGCUCUUUUUCUAAUGAUCGAUGGAGGAAUAAUGAUAUUGUGAUAGACUAUUUAGGAUGAAGGCAUUUAGCUAAGUGUUGAAGUGAUAAUGUCAUGAAAGACUAUUGUCAGCUUGACCCAAAAAAAACAUAAUGGCACAUUAAUUGCUUGAAAGCAAUCCAACUAUAUUUACAUUAGAGCAAGAGCAUGAUACUAGUAAUGUUAGUUAUCCAAUAUUAAGUUCAUUAGUAUAUAAUUUAAGGAGUCCAUCAUGUUUAAUAAUCAUAAAUCAUGCAACUCUAAAUAUGCUUGAAUUUAUAUGCCCAUUUAAAUUAUCACAUCAUGUUUAAUAUUAAUUAUUUUGUAUGAUGUUUAAUUAUAAUAGUUAUAAUUAUCACCUUGAUCAGUUAAAUAAUAUAACUGACCAUGUUUUAUUGUGGACAUAUUCUAUGAAUAAUUGUGUUAUUCUUAUUUCCACUGCACCUAUUCGAAUUAGAUAGAGUUAGACUCAAAAUAUUGAAUUAGAAAUGAUAAUCACUUUAUUACUUAACUAGAUUUAUUCACCCUUCCUCUAGAUGCUAUCAAUAGUUGUCUUUUAAAAUCGUCACUGAAUAAUUUUUUUAUUGAUAAUUCACAAAAACUUGUAAGGAUUUAAUGUUUGUAGUGAUUUAUAAUCUAUUAGCCAAUGUUAGAUACAAAGCCCAUCUCCUAUCAAGCACAAUCAAAACUUUUGGAAAAUCUUUUCCCUUCCUUUUAUUUUGAUUUCUAAAGAGUUUUCUCAACCAUUAGAAUAUAUUUUUGAAACAAGUUAUCGAGUUGAUUUAGAAAACUUGGUGAAAUCAAUGCAUGCUAUCACUAGCAAUUUAGUUUAUUUGUUAAAUUGAUCAGAAAAAUGAGCAUUACUCAAUUAAAUCAAGGCUAAAAAUAGAAACAUUCAUUGUUGGUUUAGCUUUAGUAACAUUAUAGUUGAAGAGGGAUGAAUUGGAUUUUUAAUAUUCCUGAUAAGAAAUUCAACAUAACCAAGUGUGAUCUGCACAAAGGUUUAUAGUGAUUUAAUAAAUCAACUUCUCUCUAUGAGGAAAAAAUUCUUAAAUUCCGCAAAUUUACAAGUAAAACACAGAAUAGAGAAUUCAGGAAACCUCCACUAACUAUACAAGCCUAAGUGAUCCUAUGUGUUGGAUUAUAUGUCUUAAACGUCUACUUCAUGUACAAUUUUAUGUUGAAUAUUUUGGCUUCCGAAAGUUUGUGUUAAAGAUUAAGUUUAGUCAAGCUUUAAGAGCAUUAAUAACAAAGAAUAUUUUUGCCCAAUCAGUCCAGAUAUGAUUGAGCUUGAAAAACCUUUCUCUUGAAUGAGGGAAGCCUCAAAUGCUUAACAUAGUUGAUGAGGGCUUGAGCAUAAGUUUAUUGAUCUUUGGGCACUCAACAAUGACGAUUUUGCUUUGACUCCUUAGACCAAGAAGGUGAGGGUGUGAGAAACCGGGGAAUUAUUUAAAUCUUCUUGUACACACAUCUUAUUACACCAUAUUGGUCUUCUCAUCAACUAUUUGAGCUCACUUUAUUGGGCCAUACGCAUGAUUAGAAAUCUACAAAAAAUAAAAUUGUUAAUCUUGUAAAAUUGAUAAAAAAACUUAAUUCAUUAAAUUUAACACAUUGUUUAUUUCAUCUUGUUCCUCUUCUAAAGGGCUUUAUAAUAAUCUGAUGUAUAGUAAUAUUGUUAACUUAUUGCAACUAAAAAUUAGCUAACUCAUUUGGCUGGAAAUAUGGAUCAUUUUUCCUUGAUAUAUUUCCACCAAAUUGCCUAUUAUAAUUGGUGAUAAUUUUUAUAUGAAACAUAAUAAGAAAUUAUAAUCCAUAAAUUUCCCUACUAUCCUUUGUCAACAUCAAAAAAAUUUUAGGCUCUCAAAGCCAAUAAGUUAACCCUUGCAAAGGUCAUUCAUCAACGAUCCACUAUUUUGAAUUAAAUAUUUAAUUAAAAAUAAAAAUGUUAAUAAGAGUGUUUUCUUGUACUAGAAAAAAUUUAAAAUAGUGUAUAUGAACAACAUGACCAAGCAUAGAGGGAGGAUUCAUGCUUGUGGUCAUGAUGCUCAUAUAAAAACCAUUAUUCUAGCAAAAGCUGAUGAAAAGUCUCCCCAUUGUUAUUAUAUAGAGAUUAGUAAUUGGUUUUUCUAAGAACAUAACAUUUCAGUAGCGUGAGUCUAUAUUUCUAAGAAAUGUUAAAGGGUACUAUGUCCCUCAUCUUCCAAUGCUGAAGUGGUUUUUGGCGGCACACACCAUGAGAGUACUAGAUAAAAGAAUACCUAUCUUUGAGUCACAUUGAGUACCAUAUGUUCAAUACGUGGGGUAUUUCUCACCACACUCGGUCAAUUCAUGGCCUUGAUCGCAAGAAAAAGGGCACGCAUACAGUGCUGCCCCAUAUUAGCUAUUAUGAUCCAGUCUUAGCUGCCCCAAUUGCAGUUCUGUGGCUGUAGAGUAUAAUUCCUUGCAAAUCUGAUCUAAUCAAAUCUGCAGUAAGCUUUUCCCCUUGUCUGAACAUUGUUCACCAGUUCUCUAGUGGGUUCAAUUCCAUGCUUCAAUACUAUUGAAUCUUGAAAAGUCGUUCAUUUCGUUCCUUACAAUUUUGCAUUAUCAGUCGUGUUCCACCCAUUUUAUCUACUUUUUGUUUGAGCUCAUUGGAUGCCUCUAUGGAUCAAGCACUCUCUUUUCCAAAGUUGUUUUUUAAAAUUCAAGGCGACUUUUUUGCUGCCCAAGUUAAAAAAAUGCUGUCAUGGUUAUCCUUUCUGUGUUUCUAUUUUUGCCCAAAAACAAAGAAUGUCUCUUUCAAUAGGCUUCUUAUUAAUGAACGCAUGUGCUUCAGCCGUUGUUCUUCCAUCGUCUUGCCAUGAAAGCAUCUAACUCGUCAUCGAUCAAUCUCCUCAUUUCAGACUUCAGGUGGUUUCAAGAGGAUUCAUCCAAGGUAGGGAUGGACUCCACGCAGCCUCCGAGUCAUUGACUUUUGGGGGUUCCUUCAGAAGCUCCAUAGCAUAAGGGCCCUCCCUCCUAAUGGGACUAAAGAGGUAAGACUUCUAGUGGUUCCUCCUAGAGGGACCAUCUUUAUUACCUAUCUUUAGAAAGAAAUAUUGGAUAUAAUUGUGACGUGCAAGCAUUUUCUUGUCUGAUAUUUAAAUGAAUCAUGAUAAGCUUGUGUGAUACCCCCCCAUCUGGUCUUUAAGCUCCGACUUUCAGCUUUACAACGGGAUGUCACUGUUUCGUUGACGGGACUUCGUCGAGCCAACUUGGCAACGGUCAACCAUCCCUAAUGAAGUUCGUGAAUUUGGAAUUUACAACUUGUCGGUCUAUGAAAUUAAAUAAAUCUUUGAUUGACUGAUUCAAGAAUAGAAUGACGAUCAGAGUGCAACGCUGGUGAGGGAAACAACGAAGUUAUCGAACAUGACGCCAGGCCGAGGCGUUGACGACUUCUGCCAGACGUCGACGCCUCAGCGGACGUAGGACCUGGUCGUCCUUGUCGUUCUGGAUAUCAGUGGCAUCCACCUUGGCACCGUCUGGAAGUAAGAAAGCGAGCGAGAAUGGUGCCGCCGCCGGCUGGAGGGCGCGUCCCGUCGAGCUAAGAGGAUUAAUCACGUAAACAUGACGGAAUGACGACGUGCCAGCCACUUUUAUGAACAUAUCGUGCAGUCAUUCGUAAAUGAGGAGGAGAUCUUGGGGGAAUCUCGCCGACGAAGUUAUCGCCGGAGGCCGUCCCCCUGAUGACUAGCGGUCCAGUCGAGUGUCACCAGGCACUCCUGCAAGGACGAGUUUGGGAGACAAGAAACGUCGGCUGCUAGAGGGAGUAAUAUAAUUUCAUGCAGUCAUCGUGAAUUGAUCACAAUUAUUCAUGAACAGCCGAAGCGGAAAGCGAAAUGGUCAAACUCCAUGUACUCCGAUCUUCAAGCUCCCCAAGGAACGGACGGAAAACAAAGAGACGGGAAGAAUGUCAGCAGCGACGAGAUACGAGAGGAAACACCAGGAAGAACGGCCAUAAUUGAGAAGGGCAGGGAAGAUUAGAGGGAAAGGAAGACGGAUCAGGAUCAGGAGGAGUAGGCGGCUAAGAGGUGAGCCUCCAAGGAAGGAUUGGUGGUCGUGUAGCCGCCGUCCACCACUAGGUUAUGCCCGUUGACGUAUCU